rnacentral:rRNA from 1 species
GAGGCGGUUAUUCCGGUGGCCGCCGCUGUGGCCUCUUUUCCUUGUCUAAAAAACAUAGGAAGUAAGGGCUGGGUAAGACGGGGCCACCAGCCGCGGUAA